rnacentral:lncRNA from 1 species
AUUAUAUUACUCCCCAAACUGGAGGAAGUGAGGGUGAGUGGAGCAAAAAAGCUGAGACACGUGGUCACGAGCCACUCCCAAAUAGUUUUGGGUUUUCCUAGUCUUGAAACUGUCAGUGUUGAGAAUUGCUCUGACCUGAGAUAUCUCUUUCCCAAAUAUACGGCCACAACUUUGGAGAAACUUAGGUGGCUAAAAAUUACUAAAUGUGAACAGAUGAAGGAAGUGAUUCUCGAGAAAGAAGCUGGUCGAUCAGAGGCAGAAGUGAUGAGUUUUCCUUGCUUAAGUGAAUUAACACUUAAGGAACUCGAUAACCUGAUUAGUUUCGGUUCAGGAAGUGUCAGGAGGCAGUUAGGCCAGACAACCGAAGAAAAUGAUGAAUCGCCACGACCGCUAUUCAAUGAGAUGGUUCGUUCUAUUCUUUACUGUGAUCCUUUGUAUUCUCGCAUUAUCAUGUUUUAUAAUGAAGAAUGUAAUGAAUUUGUCCAACUUAUCCUCAUUUCUCACAUUAUCCUUGUGCAGGUCACAUUUCCCAAUAUGAGAAAUCUAAAAAUUGAAGGCGUUCCAUGCAAAGAGCUGUGGAGCAAUGAUGUUCCCGCCGAUUCCAUUGUUUGUUCCCACCGAUUCCUUUUAAAAAAAGUCGAGGUUAAAAACUGUCCAUCCUUGAAAUCAUUGUUUGGUUUUGGGUCCCUAGAUUCAAAGAUGGAACAAAACGCGGUAUUGCUCCCUGAAUUGAAAAGGAUCAAAGUUGAAAGCUGUCCCUCCCUGGAAUCGUUGUUUAAUUGUGGGUCCCUUGAUUCAAAUGCGGAGCACAAAAUUAUAUUGCUCCCCAAAUUGAAGGGAGUGAGGGUGAGUGGAGCAAAAAAGCUGAAACACGUGGUCAUGAGCCACUCCCAAAUAGUUUUGGGUUUUCCUAGUCUUGAAACUGUCAGUGUUGAGAAUUGCUCUGACCUGAGAUAUCUCUUUCCCAAAUAUACGGCCACAACUUUGGAGAAACUUGAGUUGCUAGAAAUUACUAAAUGUGAACAAAUGAAGGAAGUGAUUCUCGAGAAAGAGGCUGGUCGAUCAGAGGCAGAAGUGAUGAGUUUUCCUUGCUUAAGUGAAUUAACACUUAAGGAACUCGAUAACCUGAUUAGUUUCGGUUCAGGAAGUGUCAGGAGGCAGCUAGGCCAGACAGCCGAAGAAAAUGAUGAAUCACCACGACCGCUGUUCAAUGAGAUGGUUCGUUCUAUUCUUUACUAUGAUCCUUUGUAUUCUCGCAUUAUCAUGUUUUAUAAUGAAGAAUGUAAUGAAUUUGUCCAACUUAUCCUCCUUUCUCACAUUAUCCUUGUGCAGGUCACAUUUCCCAAUAUGAGAAAUAUAAAAAUUGAAGGCGUUCCAUGCAAAGAGCUGUGGAACAAUCAUGUUCUCGCCGAUUCCAGUGUUUGUUCCCACCAAUUCCUUUCAAAAAAUGUUGAGGUUAAAAACUGUCCAUCCUUGAAAUCAUUGUUUGGUUUUGGGUCCCUAGAUUCAAAGAUGGAACAAAACGCGGUAUUGCUCCCUGAAUUUGAAAGGAUCGACAUUGAAAGCUGUCCCUCCCUGGAAUCGUUGUUUACUUGUGGGUCCCUUGAUUCAAAUGCGGAGCACAAAAUUAUAUUGCUCCCCAAAUUGAAGGGAGUGAGGGUGAGUGGAGCAAAAAAGCUGAAACACGUGGUCAUGAGCCACUCCCAAAUAGUUUUGGGUUUUCCUAGUCUUGAAACUGUCAGUGUUGAGAAUUGCUCUAACCUGAGAUAUCUCUUCCCCAAAUAUACGGCCACAACUUUGGAGAAACUUGAGUUGCUAGAAAUUACUAAAUGCGAACAAAUGAAGGAAGUGAUUCUCGAGAAAGAGGCUGGUCGAUCAAAGGCAGAAGUGAUGAGUUUCCCUUGCUUAAGUGAAUUA